rnacentral:rRNA from 1 species
AUUAUUUUAAGCUAUAUAUUAGGAGUAAAUAAAAUUUAUGAAAUUAAAAAAUUUUGGCGGUAUUUUAAGCUUAUUAGAGGAAUUUGCUCUGUGAUGGACACAACGCCUUAAUCUUACUUAAUUUAGUAAUUUAAAUCAGUUUGUAUACCACUAUAUUAAUUAUAUUGAAUAGUUAUAUUUAAAAUUUUUUAAAAAAAUAUAUUAAGUCAAGGUGCAUCUAAUAAUUAUGAAUGAAGUGAAUUACAUUAAUUUUAAUGUAAUUUUUUACAUGAAAAAAUUAAUUAGGAUUUAAUAGUAAAAUACUAAUAUUAUGAGUAUUUGAAUCAAGCUCUAAAAUAUGCAC